rnacentral:rRNA from 1 species
ACGAACGCUGGCGGCGUGCUUAACACAUGCAAGUCGAACGGAAAGGCCCUGCUUUUGUGGGGUGCUCGAGUGGCGAACGGGUGAGUAACACGUGAGUAACCUGCCCUUGACUUUUGGAUAACUUCAGGAAACUGGGGCUAAUACCGGACAGGAGCUCCUCCGGCACCGUUGGGGUUGGAAAGUUUCGGCGUGUGGCGAUGGACUCGCGGCUUAUCAUCUUGUUGGUGGGGUAGUGGCUUACCAAGGCAUUGACGGGUAGCCGGCCUGAGAGGGUGACCGGCCACAUUGGGACUGAGAUACGGCCCAGACUCCUACGGGAGGCAGCAGUGUGGGAUAUUGCACAAUGGGCGGAAGCCUGAUGCAGCAACGCUGCGUGCGGGAUGACGGCCUUCGGGUUGUAAACCGCUUUCGCCUGUGACGAAGCGUGAGUGACGGUAAUGGGUAAAGAAGCACCGGCUAACUACGUG